GAGCUUCAAUACUUCAUCACCUUGCAUGUCUUCAAGGUUGCUAUUAUCACUUCUCAUCAUUCAAGAACAAGUGAGAAGAAAGAAAAGGCAAAAAUAGGCAUGUUAAGGGUUGGCCGGGGCUAAUUUCUGGUUCUCUGAAGUGGAUUAAUUAGGUGAUCGAGUCGGAUCGACAAGCAAAUCUAGAUCUCUGCUGAAGAUCUCCUUUCUUUUUUCCAUUACACUUAAAUAAUAGCACCUUACUCAUCAUGGUCUCCGGCGGUAGGUAUAAGAACUCGAAAAAUACAUGUUAGUUGCAGAGGUUUGAACCCCAUGCCAGAACCAGUAUGGCGUAUUAUUGGUUUUUGAAUUUGAGAAAAGUGAUAAGCUAGCUAGCUAGUUUCAGCAAUCUGAGUGAUGAAAAGAUGAACAAAUCGGAGUCGCUAGAUUCAUGCAGGCUUGCAGUGCAGAGGUACAAAACGUUGGUGGCGGACCAUGCUAGUCGCUGACAGCCUUGUCGUUCUUGUUCAUUACCCAUAUCUCAAAGAAUCACACAGAUGGCUCCAUUUCUUCAAUCAUCACGAUUAUCUGGACUGUUGUAAAUUUGGAAUCCACUCCAAUAUAUAACAACAGAUCAACAACAUUCAGGAUGAUCAGUAUUCACUAGCUCGCUACAGCUGAUCAAUAACGAUCGAGCUAGCCAAACACAGGGUUAUCAUAUUCGUUUAUGUUAACUGCUGAUCACAUCUUCAAUUGUAUGUUAAGAAACUAUGUGUUUCUGGGUUAUUCCUGCGACCCCAAAUUUGUGUGCUUGAAUUAUCUUUGUCUUUUUUGUAAGUUCAGUUAUGAGUUAUGAUCACAGAACAAUGCAUACUGUAAUAUCAACUGAAACAAAUUUAGUGUGUUGCAA